ACUUGUAAGCGUCUGAUUGAAGAUGAAUGAAAUACCAAAAAGUGAAACUACGCCUGACAAUUAUUGAACAGUUGUUUUUGUAGAUAAGUAUUAGUGGUAUGGAAGUGACAAUAAAUAAAUUGUAUAAAUUACAUACGGGCAGAUCAUACAAAAAUGAUAACAAUGUUAUAAAUUAACACGAACCCCCAAAAAAAACAACAACAACAACCUUACCGAAGACCGAGUUGUUCAUGAGUUUGAAGAAGUUCUUCUCACCGAGUUGGAGAUACAGUUGCAGGUUGCGAUAGUGAAGUACAUAAUUCUGUUUGUUUUCUAAAGUGGUAGAAAUACAAUGGGGGUUUGAUGUGGAAAGAUGUCUGUACGAAGUUUAUAUAACGGGUUAGAAUGUGGACUUACAUCCACCAGAAGCUUGGGGAUGUCUCGCCAGAACUUAGACAGAAUGCUGGAGAACUACGAUACAACUUCACAUUAACAUCCACUUGGUUUAACAGAUCGAGAUAGUCCAUCGAAUUCUGACCACUGAUUUGAAACUCAAUGGGAGUAUCAUCCGACACUUGGGAUAUUGGACGAAUCUCUUGAUAAUGGACAUCAUUCACCGCAACUUGUGUAGGAGCUCACUUUUCGCCUGGUUUACUGUCUGUUCCGAUGGGGAAACUGUGCUGAUUGUCAUACCAUUACUUCCCAUCUUCGACUUGUGUGGAAUGGCAAAUCCCCUCCCAACUUGAGAUCAUCCGGGGAUAUCGCCAUAUUGAAAACCCGCCAGAGGUUCGGUCCACGUCCAUGGUGCUCGGGAUGAGUCAUUGGAGGACGAAGAUCGGGUGUCCUUAUGCUGCCAUGAAAUGUCGUUUUUAUGAUGUCCAAUUAUGUUCAAAAAUAAACAACUUGGAGAAUGUG